rnacentral:rRNA from 1 species
CACCGCGGUUAUACGAGAGACCCAAGUUGAUAGACACCGGCGUAAAGAGUGGUUAAGAUAAACUAAACACUAAAGCCGAACGCCCUCAGAGCUGUUAUACGCAUCCGAAGGUAAGAAGUUCAACCACGAAAGUGGCUUUAUAAUAUCUGAUCCCACGAAAGCUAAGGCA